rnacentral:lncRNA from 1 species
AUACGAACAAGUCGGAUGUACGUGCUGUCCCGCACGGCCGCGAGAAAUCCAAACAACACUCAGUGUUUUGCAGUUCUCCGACGAUUACACGGUUGGAUCGCGACAAAUUUCACAUGGUAGUGGAAGACACAAUUCCUCAAAAUAUCACCGAAGGGAUCGGCGAAACCUUUCUUGAGGUAGCGGGAAACAUGUGAACAAGUAGGACGUUUGUGCGGCCUCGCAGGGUCGCGAGAAAUCCAAACAAAACUCAGUGUUUUGAAGUUUUCUGGAGAUUCCACCGUUGGAUGGCAACGAAAUUUAACAUUGUGGUGAUAGACAAAAUUCCGCACAACUCUACCAAAGGGAUCGUCGAAAUAAUCCUUGAAUCAAUGGGAGACAUGCGAACAAGUCAGACAUUUGUGCGGCUGCGAGGAAUCCAAACAACACUUGGUGUUUCGGAGUUGGCCGGAGAUUUCACCGUUGGAUCGAGACGAAAUUUAACAGCGUCGUAGUAGACACAAUUCCGCACAAAGGCACAGUAGGGAUCUUCGUACUUGAGUCAUCAAAUACCUUGUGAGAGAGGAAGGAGGCAGGAGAAAGAAAAGAAUGGCGAUCGGAGAGCAAAAGAAAAAAAACAUGAAAAUACCAUCCUCCCCUUCUAAGUUUGGGAAG